GAAUGCUGACAUAAGUAACGAUAAAGCGGGUGAAAAGCCCGCUCGCCGGAAGACCAAGGGUUCCUGUCCAACGUUAAUCGGGGCAGGGUGAGUCGACCCCUAAGGCGAGGCCGAAAGGCGUAGUCGAUGGGAAACGGGUUAAUAUUCCCGUACUUGGUGUUACUGCGAAGGGGGGACGGAGAAGGCUAUGUUGGCCGGGCGACGGUUGUCCCGGUUUAAGCGUGUAGGUGUGUGUUCCAGGUAAAUCCGGUUCACUUUAACACUGAGGCGUGACGACGAGGCACUACGGUGCUGAAGCAACAAAUGCCCUGCUUCCAGGAAAAGCCUCUAAGCAUCAGGUAACAUCAAAUCGUACCCCAAACCGACACAGGUGGUCAGGUAGAGAAUACCAAGGCGCUUGAGA
rnacentral:rRNA from 1 species